UAGCUUCGCUGCCUCUGUGUAGCUCACUCCUUUGUAAGCAAGAAGGGCAACUCUAAAAGUCACUGAAAAUCGCCCUUCCCAGAAUCUGCAAUUAGCAUUAACCGUCUUAGUGCUGCAGGGUGAGCUCCAUUUGCCUUACUGUUAUUUUAUCACUUGUUUCUCAAGGUCCAAGGGGGAAGAGCCACAUAUUUCCCUUCAAGAGCUCCUGCGUAUUCGAAGGCAGCCAGUUUCUCUUGUCCAGUCUCCAGUCCACUCAUCCCUAAUGGGCCUCCCAUCCUCCGGUGCCUGCCACUUCUGUCUUAUGGCUCAGUCUGGCUCUGUGGAGCUUUCCUGGUCCUUCAGGCUUUGCUGCAAAUAAACACCAUCGGGGCCCCCUUAAUGCAGAUUUAUAGCUGGAGGUAAAGCAGCCAUUUCCUGACUACAAUGUGGCCAGGAAUAGAAAAGCCCCACAC